GUGAAGAGACGUGCUUUUGUUUCUUUGCCUUAAUUACGUGCUGCGACGAAUAUGUAACGCAUGUGACUAUAAACGUCUCUGUACAAAGUGCUUUCAGGAAUCUGUGAUUUACACAACAAUAGUUAAUCGGGCGGCAAAAUUCCCCGAGUCGGCCCUGCAUCAGCUUGGUGCUGCACUCUGCAGCCGCUUCCAUUAGUUAGUUUAUGAGGAUACAGGAACCCGCCAUUUUGCGUCUGCUGACACUCAAAUAAUCUUGCAACAUGUGGCGAAACAUUUCUGACUUCCAAACCAAAUAAGUUUUUAACUCAUUCAUUGCGCACAGUUAAUUCAGUCAAGGUACUGAUCUGCAAUGCUGGUACGCAUUGAAAUCCUGGCCACAGCAGGCUGCUAUAGCAGGCAAAACGAAAUGGCGUUGGUGAUAAGGCGGAAUUUCGGGCUUUCUGGAGUUGAAGCGGAACAACGCAGAUCGGGAGAGAAGAAGAGGCCAAGGUGCUCAAACCAGAAUCUAAACGACAGUGGAAAAAGUGAAAAUCAAUCACGGAUCUGAUUUCAACAUCUUCGGCAACAAUUUGAACGUGAUAAAGGUCGCCAGCCUCUGGAUUCACGAUUGAUCGCAUCCAAAAAAAAAAAAAAACUAUAAACUUAAUUAUGUAUAUAGAUAUUUUAUCCAACCCGAAAAGCUUCUAGACUCUCGACCAAUUUUGGCUGUUAUUGAUAUCCAUACUGGCAAGAUAACGGUCCCGGGAAUUGCAAGACGCUAUCAAAAUCUCGACAGCAGUUCCUGGGGCUAGCCCAGACGUACAAAAAGAAGUGUGCAGGAGACUUUCGUUUACACACGUAG